CCACAAGCCAAUAUAAUAAUAACGGAACAUUUUAAUGUAAGAGAAAUGCCUACUAGCUUCUCUAGACAGACAAGGACUAUGUCAAUCACAGACAAAGAUAAUUUCCAGAAAUGGUGGGGAAGUAUGCCAACUGACGACUUUAACACCUUUACACAUUGGUUUAUGAAGGGAGCAAAUAGAGCAAAAAAAGGAGGUCUUAACUUAGAAG